rnacentral:rRNA from 1 species
UACGUAGGGGCCAAGCGUUGUCCGGAUUUAUUGGGCGUAAAGAGCUCGUAGGCGGUUGGGUAAGUCGGGUGUGAAAACUCCAGGCUCAACUUGGAGAUGCCACCCGAUACUGCUCUGACUUGAGUUCGGUAGGGGAGUGGGGAAUUCCUGGUGUAGCGGUGAAAUGCGCAGAUAUCAGGAGGAACACCGGUGGCGAAGGCGCCACUCCGGGCCGAAACUGACGCUGAGGAGCGAAAGCGUGGGUAGCAAACAGG